CCUACGGGGGGCUGCAGUGAGGAAUAUUGGUCAAUGGGCGCGAGCCUGAACCAGCCAAGUAGCGUGAAGGAUGACUGCCCUACGGGUUGUAAACUUCUUUUAUAAAGGAAUAAAGUGAGGCACGUGUGCCUUUUUGUAUGUACUUUAUGAAUAAGGAUCGGCUAACUCCGUGCCAGCAGCCGCGGUAAUACGGAGGAUCCGAGCGUUAUCCGGAUUUAUUGGGUUUAAAGGGGGCGUAGGCGGCCUUUUAAGUCAGCGGUGAAAGUCUGUGGCUCAACCCUAGAAUUGCCGUUGAAACUGGGGGGCUUGAGUAUGUUUGAGGCAGGCGGAAUGCGUGGUGUAGCGGUGAAAUGCUUAGAUAUCACGCAGAACCCCGAUUGCGAAGGCAGCCUGCCAAGCCAUGACUGACGCUGAUGCACGAGAGCGUGGGGAUCGAACAGGAUUAGAUACCCCUGUAGUC
rnacentral:rRNA from 1 species